GCUACGGGCGGCAGCAGUGAGGAAUAUUGGUCAAUGGGCGGAAGACUGAACCAGCCAAGUAGCGUGCAGGAUGACGGCCCUACGGGUUGUAAACUGCUUUUAUACGGGAAUAACGCGCCUUACGUGUAGGGCUUUGCAUGUACCGUAUGAAAAAGGACCGGCUAAUUCCGUGCCAGCAGCCGCGGUAAUACGGAAGGUCCGGGCGUUAUCCGGAUUUAGUGGGUUUAAAGGGAGCGGAGGCGGCCUGUCAAGCGUGCGGUGAAAUGUCCGGGCUCAACCCGGGCCUUGCGGCUGAAACGUGCGUGCUUGAGUCCGCGGAAAGCAGGCGGAAUGCGGCGUGUAGCGGUGAAAUGCUUAGAUAUGACGAAGAACCCCGAUUGCGAAGGCAGCUUGCUGCAGCGGAACUGACGCUGAUGCUCGAAAGCGCGGGGAUCGAACAGGAUUAGAUACCCCAGUAGUC
rnacentral:rRNA from 1 species